UACGAAGGGGGCGAGCGUUAUUCGGAAUCACUGGGCGUAAAGCGUGCGUAGGCUGUCUAGCAAGUUGGAAGUGAAAGCCCAGGGCUCAACCCUGGAAUUGCUUUCAAAACUGCAAGACUAGAGUCCGGGAGAGGAUAGCGGAAUUUCCAGUGUAGUAGUGAAAUACGUAGAUAUUGGAAGGAACACCAGUGGCGCAAGCGGCUAUCUGGACCGGUACUGACGCUGAGGCACGAAAGCGUGGGGAUCAAACAGG
rnacentral:rRNA from 1 species